rnacentral:misc_RNA from 1 species
GAAAUGCGAUAAGUAAUGUGAAUUGCAGAAUUCAGUGAAUCAUCGAAUCUUUGAACGCACAUUGCGCCUGCUAGUAUUCUGGCAGGCAUGCCUGUUCGAGCGUCAUGUCAACCCUCAAGCCCUGGCUGCUUGGUGUUGGGGCAUCUACGGCUCUGCCGUAGGCCCCGAAAGACAGUGGCGGUCUCGCUAAGACUCCGAGCGCAGUAAAUCUUCUCGCUCAGGGCGUCUGCGCGGGUACCAGCCGUUAAACCCCCUACUUUUACAGUGGUUUGACCUCGGAUCAGGUAGGAAUACCCGCUGAACUUAA